rnacentral:lncRNA from 1 species
CAGGUCUCCUCUUCCUUUCUCAUCUAUUCCCUUUUUAAAUCCUUUUUUUUUUUUUUGCUUUAAUCGCUUGUUUCAUGGGCGAUCACUUUUCUCUCUUGCGAUCGGUGAAUUUUGCUUCUUUUUUUUUGCAUAAACCUCGUGUUGACAUGUGUUUCGAGAUCUAACAAUAUAUAUUAUUAGGGUUUACGGAUUGUUGUAGACAUUAAUCAUCGAUCCUCUUUUGAUAUCGCUGAAGAAAAUUGCAGUUCCUAGUCUUGCGAACUGUUGAUUUGUUCCUAAUUUGGGGGUUAGUGAUCCUAGCGGAAUUGGAUUUCAUUUAUCUAUUUGAUUCAUCAUCAUCAUUGUGUGUUGCGUGCAGAGUAUCAAUCUACCUUGGAACAAUGACUGAAGUGUUUAACGGCUACGAGCGCCAAUACUGCGACCUCUCCGCCAAUCUCUCCAAGAAAUGCUCCUCUGCUCUUGCCCUUGACGGAGGUAAGUAAUUCCAUAUCAUCUCUUGCUCCUCAUCCACUGCCCCUACCUUCCUUCCUCUUUUAUGUGUUACUACAAGCCUUUCUCUGCUUCCCAGGGCCGGCCAUAGGCCAUGCUAGUUGAAACAUUCGCAACAGGCCCCCAAAAGUUUUGAAAAAAAUUACAUACAAAUAAGCCACCAAAAAAAAAAAUUCAUACAGCAGGGCCAGACCCCCAGAAUCUCAGGUCCGGCCCUGCUGCUUCCCUUUGAUAGCUGAUGAUACCUUUACUGAUUGAAUUGCAGAACAAAAGAAGCAGAAGCUCUCUGAGAUAAGAUCUGGCCUCGAUAAUGCUGAAGCAUUGGUAUGUGUGACUCUGGAAUAUAGCAGUGUUUUCUUUAUUGUCCCUUUUAACAUUUUUUCUUAUUCACCAGAUUAGGAAAAUGGAUGUCGAGGCGAGGAGCCUUCCACCGAGCAUUAGGACCAGCCUCCUUGUUAAACUAAGAGAGUUCAAGUCUGAUCUCAACAACUUCAAAAGCGAAGUCAAGAGGAUCACAUCUGCUAACUUGAACGCUGCUGCUCGCGACGAGUUGCUUGAAGCUGGUCUGGCUGACACAAAGACGGUAUGUAAAGAGAACUCACUAGUAUCUUUUUUGACAUCUUUUGAUUGAUCUAUGACAUUUGAGGGCAGGCUUCGGCUGAUCAAAGAGCGAGAUUGAUGAUGUCAACUGAUCGAUUGGGUCGAACCACUGACAGAAUCAAGGACAGUCGAAGAAUGAUGAUUGAGACUGAAGAGCUUGGCGUUUCUGUCCUCCAAGACUUGCACAGUCAGAGACAGUCUCUCCUUCGCACUGGCGACACGGUAUGUACUCUCUUCUUCAGCACGAUUUUAUCAUGAAGAAGACUACGUUUUAUUUAUCUACUACUUGUGAUUGGUAUCUCUUUUAACCAAUAGUUAGUUCUCUGAUACAUACAGCUUAGUGGAGUAGACGAAAAUGUUGGAAAGAGCAAGAAGAUCUUGACGGGCAUGACCAGGAGGAUGAACAGGAACAAAUGGACCAUUGGAGCCAUUAUCACCGCUCUGGUCGCGGCUAUUAUCCUCAUCUUGUACUUCAAACUCACCAAGUAAUCCCUCUGUAUCUAAACUCUUUGUCGCUGAACAAAUGGUGUGCAUCUUUUAUUUAAUCCUUUUCUGGCUUUCUGUGUGAUAAGUUAUGUCUUUGCCACCUUUUGUAUUAUCACGUUCUCUUGUUUGCGUUUGCGAUUACAUUUGUGUAUUUUCAUACUAAAUGAUGCAAAUUGUUUUGUUUUAUUAGAAACGCGUAAAUUACAUUUGAAACAAUUAGAGCCUAAGCCUUGAGAUUUAGAACUAGUCGUGUGUUUUUCUUUCAUGCUUGAACCUGUUAUAAUCAGCGAGCAAGCUCUCAACAACCUUAUGCUUCAUGCUAUCCACCAAACCAGUCAAAAUCUGUAGAAACGAAAUCACAACCAAACAUCAUUUACAAAGCUGAAAUAGUGGAAAAUAUCGUUUCUGAGUUCUCAAACGCAUAUAAGAAACCGUUUCUAACCGCAUUGGCCACACUUCUCUUAACAUCUUCGGGUACAAACGCAAGAACCGAAGGAAGGACGAAGCUUACGUUCAUCUCUAAUUGACCUUUGAGCCUUGUGUGGCUUCCGCCUCGGUCUGGGUACAAUGCUCCUUGAACUCCCAGAGUGAAAUCAGACUGUUCCAUGACCUGGCCAAGCCCUUGAAGCUCCCAUUUCAUCUGAAAGUAAACCGUUAAAAGGGAACAAAAGAGUGAGAAUCGUCAAGGGUUGUGUCUGUUUCUAUUACCAUGUUAAGCUCAAGAACUCUGGUUAUGUCUAGAGGUACAUCAGGCGGGUAAUCUUGACCGUUGGAUUUACAUCUAAUCCGCAUGUCCACCACUGGCCUUGCAGUGAGGAAGAGGAAAUUUAUAGGUGACAUAUGAAUUCUCCAUUCUUCCUGCACAAAUAAAAUAUUGUUAGAUACCGAAUGCAUUCCCACUUACAUAAAAAGUAACACAUAUUAGCUACCUCGUUAAGCCUAUAGCUUCUAGGUUUGUCAGGAAACAUUGCUUUGAAAACCCUACACUUAUCCUCCAAAUACUCAUCGAACAACGCCUGAACUUUCGCAAAACGCGUCAAACACAUACACAGUUGUACAGUGAUGCAUAUAUAUAACUCAUUAUAGGAAAUGAGAGUGAGAAUGAGACCUGAGGAGACUCGUGCAAUUGAACAUCGGUAGAGAAUUUAGAUGAAUACUUGGAGGGUUUUACAGUUGACAACUGGCACUUGGCUCCCGACCGUAAUGUUCUCAUCUCCGCCGCUAUAGACCUGAUUCUUCCCAGCAUUGUCGGACACGACAAAACUGUUGAGCUGACAGCCAUGUUAGUAGUGUCUCUCUAGGUUUUCAAGAUUGGAUGAUGUUUGAUCUUUCCCACAUGUUUGAAAGAUAAGGGGAUAUGUGUCUUUCGGCCUUGUAUGUAGACGUGGUAUAUCGAGGGACUAUCCACCUCAUCAACAUUUUGAAUUCUUAGGGCCCUCUUUGAUUUACUCCUCUAGUCACGUUUUUCUCACUAUUAAGAAGAAACAAUCUUGUUGAACAAAUAAUAAAAAAAAAAAGACAAUCUCUUUCUCUCUAUACUCUUUCUUCGGUUCUCUGUUAUGAAAACAGUCUCCUUUCUUUCGGCAAAUCAGGUCAGUAACAGAAAAUUGUGUGUUUUUUUACAGUGUUCUAAACAUUGUUUUAGAUGACAUAUUAAAAAAGAGUCUAACCAUACAUUUAAUCAACAAUCUUCGUAAAAAGUAUAACUACCGCCUAACGAUUUCUUGCAUUGUUUUCUCUCAAAAUAUUACAAUUGACAGAUUUAAUAUUCAAAUACAGUUUUCACAUAGUUACUCCAUAACUAAUAGCUCGACGGCAUAAAAUUGACAUGAUAUAGUCAAUAGUUUUCGUCUAUUUUUAACAGUUGACUAUUAUAAUCCUAUUUUUUUUUAAUUAUAAUCCUAAUUUUAUGGUGUAUAUUUUAUACUAGUUGAUACAAGUUGUUUUGUUUAAUAUAAAGAGAAAAUUACUAGAAUGUUACACAUUUUAUGGUUUAUUACUAAAAUGUUGUAUAUCUUUGUUUUAUUACUAGAAUGUUUUCUCUUUCUUAGUAAUUUACAAUAAGGGGCUUUUGUUAUGUUUUAUUUUCUGAAACUAAUUUUAAAGAUCAAAGCCACAUCAGUUAUUAAAAAUCCACAUCACAUCAGUUAUUUUCUGAAACCAAACCGUCUCUAUCACUAUCACUAUCAUACAUACGGUUUUGUCAAAAAAAAAAAAAAAGAACACGAAGAACUGUGUUGUGUCGAAGAAGGAACCGCAAACCGAAAUCCUCUCACCCUUCGAAACCCUCGUCGACAUUGUUCUUUACUUCUUCGAACUCUCUCUAACUCUCUGUCGUUGAACUCUCUAUAACUCUCUGUCGUUGAACUCUGUCUCGUCGGAGUUUUUAGAAACCGUCGUCUGUACGAAAUCGCCUUCACCGCAUUCUCAUCAACGAGUUCAUCUUUUCCGGUAAGAUGUCGCGACGUUAUAUAUUGUAUUUUGGUUGAGUUUGUGGAUCAGUUAUAUAUUGAGGCUGUGAUAUGAGUGUGUCGAGGUUUUUGUUGCGACUGAGUUAGGGUUAUGUUGACUGUGCUAUGGGUUUGUCGAGGAUUUUGUUGUGUCUGAGUUAGGGUUAUGUUGCGGCUGAGAUAUGUGAUUGUCUAGGCUUUUGUUGUGUCUGAAUUAGGGCUUUUUGUUGUGGUUGAGUUAUGGUUAUGUUAUAACUGAGUAAUUAUUAUGUUGUGGCUGAGUUAUGGUUAUGUUAUAACUGAGUAAUUAUUAUGUUAUGGUUGAGUUAUGGUUAUGUUAUAACUGAGUAAUUAUUAUGUUAUGACUGAGUUAUAUAUAUGACCUAAUAUAUUUUAAUAUUAUGAUAUGGCUGUGUUAUUUUUAUGUUGUGGCUGAUUUAUUGUUGUGUUAUAUGAUCAGAUGGAUGUUAGUCAAGUCGAACCACGUGAUUACCCUCCAAGACUUUACCCUUCUAACCUAGAAGGUAAAGAUAUCAAUCAUAAUUUUCGUGCAGGACAUUUCCCCCACAUUAAAGAAACAAUAGGACUCGAUGUGUGGGAAGAACUGGUGAACUCUUCCAUUGGAGUAGUUGCUAGGCUACUUUCACGCGAAAACAUUUGGUCUGGUAGGACCGUACACUAUCUGCUAUGUAGACAGCUACGAGUGCAUAAAAAGGAGAUAUGGUCUGUUGUGGUUGAUGAUGUUAUCAGGUUUAGCUUGCUCGAGUUUGGUGAGAUCACUGGGUUAAACACAGGUCCAUUGCCAACAGAAAGUUUUGAACCUGACCAAUACAAAGAGUUUUGGGAGGAGUUGAAGGUGCCGCUUGGGAUGGGACCCAAGUAUGAUGAGCUGAAGGCAGCAUUAGAGUUCUGUCCUGGUUGGAGUUUUGAAAAGCGUAAGUGGUUGGGGAUGUUAUUUCUUCAAGCCAUGGGACUGUACUGUUUGCAUCACAAUUCAAGGAUACCCUUUCAAAGUGCAAUAAGGGUAUUCGACGAUGAAGCCAUGAGGUCGUAUCCAUGGGGUCGGACUGCAUACGAAGUUCUUGUUGACUCUCUGAAAACACUGUGUCCAGAUGGAAAGUCAUACACAGUAAGCGGCAUGAAGGACGUUUUAUUGGUUUGGGCGUAUGAGUCCAUCGUCUGUUUCGGUGAGAAGUUUGGGAGAGUGGUCAACAAUGAAGACGUUCCUCUUUUGCGAUGGGGUGGAAGGCGUACACGUUCAAGUUUUGAUACUGUCUUGUCUGACGAAAUCAAAGAUCAUGGCGAGGUAAUGUUUAACUGCUACUUAUACGACUGAGUUAACAGCUACUUAAUGGUUGAGUUUAUUUUAUAUUGUUGCCGAAUUAGUCUAUUUGAUGGCUGAGUUUAUUUUAUAUUGUGACCGAAUUAAUUUAUUUGAUGGCUUGGUUUUGUGUUAUUUGAUGGCUGAGUUUAUUUUAUAUUGUGACCGAAUUAAUUUAUUUGAUGGCUUGGUUUUGUGUUAUUUGAUGACUGAGUUUAUGAUAAACUGGUGUUGCAGGUCCGUUUGAGGAGAAUGGUUAUGAAGGAGUCAAUUGAAGAGAUGUUUCCUGUAUGGUCGGAUGAACCUGACGACCCACAACUCGUUAGGUUGGUAGAAGACAUACACGCAGGUAGAUACGUGAAAGGUUUCUGGGAAGUACAGAGGGAUGAGCAGGGGAAGGGAAAUGAGAAGAAGAAGAAGAAGAAAACGAAGGGAGUUUCAUCAGAAGCUGAGCCAUCAACAAAGAAGCAGAAGAAAGAAGCUGCUGAAACGAGAAAGGGUUCUAGCGAGGAGGAAGCUGUAUUGGACAAAGCGACUCUGACGAAUCUUGUGAGUGCUCUGCAGAAUAUUUCAGCAAAAUUUGACGCUUACGAUUUUGACCGGAACCGGCCAGUGAUGGACGAGAAGACCCUAGAUAACGUGGUGAAAGCUGUAGUGCAGCAGAGUCUGAAAGUUUUGGGGGAAAGAAAAAUUCCCGACAACGAUGCUAAACUCUCCUCCGCCGGCGUAGAAAAAUCUUUAUCGGUGACAUCAUCACCUCGUAGGAGGUCGCCACCGGAAAAGUCGGACAAAAGUCCAGUGGUAGAACCGCAGGCCCAGGAGGAGAAGUCUGUAAAAACUCCAGUGUCAGAACCGCGGCAGCAGAAAAAGCCUGUCAAAAGUCCAGAGCCGCCGCAGCAGAAAGAGAAGGCUAUCAAAAGUCCGGUGCCGCCGCAGCGGAAGGAGAAGGCUGUCAAAAGUCCGGUGCCGGCGCAGCAGAAACAGCAGAAGUCAGUCAAAAGUCCAGCGUUAGCUGAGACCCCUGCAAAGAAGAAUUCGGAGCUUGAGAAGGAUACAGUGGUGAGAAGGAUUUUGGGUGAAGAUUUUAAUGAAAUUGAUUUCAUCAGUGUUUCUCCUGCAAAGAUUACUAAGGAUGCUAAGGAUGGUAAGGAUGCCAACGUUCCAGCCUAUGGACGCGGCUUACGGGGCAAGGCCAAGCGUACUGUUACUGUAAAGGAUGAGGCUAUCGAGGAUAAGAAAAAAGCACAGCGGGCAGAGGCUGCGUUGAAGAGGAAGGAGAAGCAAGAGGCUAAGAAAAAAGAGAACGAGGAGAAGAAACAGAAGAGAAAAGCGGCUGAGUUACAAAAGAAACAAGAGGCUGGGUUACAGAAGAAAAAGAAGGAAGACGAGGCUGAGUUAACGAAAAAAAAGAAGGAAAAAGAGGCUGAGUUACCGAAGAAGAAGAAAGAAGAAGAGGCUGAGUUACAGCGGUCUGCGGAAUGUGUUGUGACCAACGACGAAGUUCUUGCGGAAGAUAACGCAUUGGCGGCGGAGUCUGAUGUCGAGCCAGCUGAAUUGAUUAGAUUUUCCGUGAUAAAGGAACUUCGGGAGAAAUCAGUUAAGUUAUCUCCACAAGGGUUUUCAUUGACGAACCUUGAUUCAGCACCAGAUUUUCCGUACAUUGGAGACAAUGGACAGACGACUUGCAUGAGGAAGAACAUUACGCCUUCAUCAGUAAUAUACGACCCUUGCGCACCUGUUGAUCCGGCGCGACUGGAAAAACUGAAGCAACACAUUAAGGCAAUUCCACCCAAACCACCAGCACCUAAAGAUAAACCAGAAGAACCCUCAGCUGAUCAUGAGAGUGACUUCUACAGCAUACUCAUGCAUGAAAGACUGUGGGCUGACAAAGAAUAUGGAUGGGUGUUUGAUAAUGUAAGUCUUUUCUAAGGCUGACUUAUAUAUUCUAUAAAGGCUGACUUAUAUAUUUAAUUCAUUAUAUUACGGCUGACUUAUUAUUUUUCUUUGUCUAGCAUAUCGCUGCGUAUAUGAACGUCCUCAUACAAAGGUCCAUGCGAGAUCCCACUCCAUUCUGGUCCAAGCGGAUUGGUUUCAUAGACCCUUGGUUGUUAAGUUCUUGGGCUUCCCUCGAUUACAGGCAGUUCAAGAUGAAACCUGCUUCGUUCAAGUUCAAAGACUGUGGUUAUGAAGCGUUGGUAAACGGGAGAUUCCCCGAAGAAUUUGCAACAAACUUGAAGUGGUAUGCAGAUGUGGAUCACGUGUACGGAUGUCUUCAAACCGGCGGUAAUCACUGGGUGGCGUUUCACGUGGAUCUGAUCAAGGAGAAGAUAGAUUGCUACGAUCCAAUCUAUGGAGAGUCAACACCCGAAAGUGAGCAAAAAAGGCUAAAUGCUUUUAGACCUCUACUGGAGAUGCUUCCCUGGAUGUUGAAUGAGCUUAUUCCUGCCGAUCUCCGAAAGCAUUCUAGGAAGAGGUUCACAUUCAGACGGAAGAGCAAAAGAUACAUUCCACAAAACAACAUGUCAGGUGAUUGUGGGGUUUAUUCGUUGAAGUUUGUGGAGUGUCUAGCGCUUGGUGUAACUUUUGAUGGCAUAAACGAUAGUAAUAUUCAAGGGUUACGGGUGAAGAUGGCAGCAGAUAUCCUCGAGGAAGGAGGAAAUGUUGGAAUGAACAAUUUGUUUUCAUAAUGAAACUGUGUUUGUUUGUGAACCUGUGUUUGUUGUUAUGUUAACUAUUUGACUUUGGAUAACUGCUGUAAUAACUCAGUCGUAUCGAUUAGUAAUACUCAGCCAGUACUCAUUGAUAACUCAGUCAUACCUCAAACAUACCCUAGAAUCAAAAUAAUUAAUAAUUUUUCAUUCGAAUGUUAUAUAUAAAGUCCAAUUAUCAAAAUAAUUAAUAAUAACUCAAUGUGUGAGCAUGAUCUUUGUUGACUAUACGAGUUUGGAAUCGAUUAUAAUCUUGAGGUAUAUGUUGUCUCUUAUGAGUACCUAAAACUCUAGGCAGUGAUAUGAGGUGUGAGCAUGAUUCAAAACACGUAAACUGUUAUUGUGUUAUUUAUUAUGAAUUUGUGAUAUUUAUCAUAUCUUGUGGUUCGUACAUCAUAAAUCAUAACCCUAAACAAUCUUAUUCGGAACCCAAACCCUAAAUAACUAAACCCUAUACCCUAAACGGCAAACAACAAAUCAGCCGUAAAGGUCUUAAUAACUCAGCCUGUUAGUGUAAGUUAAUAUUUACAUAUGGCGCGAAAAUUUUAGAUAUUUUAUCUCGCGACCUUUAAUGUUCUAUACUUCCCCUAUAUAUAGCCCCUUCUCUUGCACCUUCUCGCCUUAUCUCACUAGAAAACCUAAACAAUAUCUCUAUAUCGCCUUACAAAGUUAUGAUUGUUCCUGGUUAUUCAGAAAGGUUAGAGAACAGAGUCAAUGAGAUACUAAACUCUGAAAAUCGUGAAAACCUUCCCGUUCUAUACCCUGGCCCGGGUGUCUUGCUUGACAGCGUAAUCUGGUUUAAAUUUCUAAGCGAUCUCUCCCUGGCCAUCCCGUCGAUUUUAGCAGAAGGAUGGGUUCAUGAUUGGCCGACAUGGCGCGCCAUUCCCGAUCAUUUUAAGGAACGCUGGUUUCUUCAACUCGUUGUAAGGACAACAUCUUUGAAUUGUUUUUGAUAUUAGACAUAAUAACAGCACUUACAUUUGGAAAUUGGUUUUUUUGUUGUAGCGCAAACGCACGUGGGCACGAAGAUAUAAUUUUCAAGUUUGGACAAAUUUUAAUCUGGUGGCCAGAACGGUGUUUCGUUGUCAGAUGCGCCUCUUGAAGAGGAGGUGGGCACAUGGGGGUGAGAAGCCUGCGUGGAUGCUAACUAGAGUUUGGCGUGAUCUUGUCCACAUGUUUGAAGAAUUUGGUCCUGAUAAUUUUGGUUUUAGAAAUUGAUUUGUUGUUUUUGUUUGUAUUCAGCCGUCAAGUUUUUGUAAAGUUGUUUAACUCAGCCGUUAAGUUUCUAUAAAGUUGUUUAACUCAGCCAUUAAGUUUCUAUUAAGUUGUUUAACUCAGCCGUUUAGUUUCUAUAAAGUUGUUUAACUCAGCCGUUAAGGUUUUAUAAAGUUGUUUAACUCAGCCGGAAUUGUUUGCGUCAAACGUCAGUGUUUCAGUUAAGUAACUCAGCCGUAAUACGAAUUAAGAUACUAAUAACUCAGCCUUAUAUUGUAAAAAUACAAAGCCAUAGUUAACGCUAUUUUCAAUGUAUUAUUAUGGCCGCCAUUACUUAAUCGAGACCAGUAUUAGAGUCCUUUAUUCUCUUAUUAUUAUACGUGCGAGAAAUUCCAUCGUCAUUGAGAAUAUCGAGACUCAUUAUUAUGGCCGUCAUUACAUUAUCGAGACUACUAUUAUUAGAGACCUUUAUUCUCUUAUUAUUAUGUGCAUGAGAAAUUUCGUUUGCAUUGAGAAUAUCGAGACUCAUUAUUAUACGGCUGGCACGCAUGUAUCGGAUUAUUUACAUAAUCGAGGUAUUGUUAUUUUUAAUGUAACUCAGUCAAUACGUCUACGUUAACUCAGCCAAAAUAUAGACGCUAACACAGCCGUAAUACGAAUUCAACUUAAGUGUUUGAUAAAAUAAUAAAGAACCUUUCGUAUUUCUUGAUUUGAUUGAGUAUUCGUCAUAAUUAAAGUGCAUCACGUGUGUGGAAAAAUACGGCUCAAACCUAAUAUCGAGGCAUUUAAUAGUUUAUUAAUUUAAAUUAUUCCUCUUUAUUUGAUUUUUUUUAAAAAAAUGAUUUUAUAUUACUAUCACUAUUGUUUUAACUUUGUCUUUCACACCAAUUUCUCUUUCAUUCAAAGAAAAUGUCUUCUUCAUCAUAUGUGUCUCGUAACACUUACUUUCACCGCCGGCAUGUGGAAAGAGGAACGCCAAAACAGUGUUGGUGUGGUGAACCCGCUGAAUUAUGUACAUCUGCAUCACGGGCUAAUCCAGGAAGACUGUACUAUUGCUGUCGCAAAGGAUAUAUUAAGGUUUGAUUUUUAAUUUUAUUCAUUAUACUGUCAAUGUGAUACUAAGAGCUGGGCAUGUUGGUGAAAUCAGAGACAUUUAUUCAAAUGGGCGGACGAGUGCUUGGUGGAAGAGGUAGAAGAUAUGAAAUCGGUGAUGAGUGACAUGACCAAAGGCAUAUCAGAUCUGAGAGGAGACGUUGGUCGGUUGGAGAAAGAACUCGGUAAAGCGGAAAAGAUGAAGUGUUUGAUGUUUCCAGUGGUGGUUUGUGGGUUUGGUAUGGCCAUAUUUUGGCACUAUUUCUUUGCGUAGUCAUGUGUUGUAAUCAUAAUUUAGACGCAAUGUUUUUAGUAACUCAGCUAUUACGUUCAAUUGCAACUCAGCCAGUACGUUAAUUAAUUCAUAAGCAAACAAUAACCCAGCCAUACUACGAGUAUUCGUCAGUCAUAACGUUUUAAUAACUCAGUUUAUAACGUUCACUGCAAUUCAGCCGUUACGUUAAUUAAGUCACUANNNNNNNNNNNNNNNNNNNNNNNNNNNNNNNNNNNNNNNNNNNNNNNNNNNNNNNNNNNNNNNNNNNNNNNNNNNNNNNNNNNNNNNNNNNNNNNNNNNNUGAUCAUAAUUUCCGUGCAGGACAUUUCCCCCACAUUAAAGAAACACAAUAGGACUCGAUGUGUGGAAGAACUGGUGAACUCUCCCAUUGGAGUAGUUGCUAGGCUACUUUCACGCGAAAGCAUUUGGUCUGGUCGGACCGUACUACACUAUCUGCUAUGUAGACAGCUGCGAGUGCAUAAAAAGGAGAUAUGGUCUGUUGUGGUUGAUGAUGUUAUCAGGUUUAGCUUGCUCGAGUUUUGUGAGAUCACUGGGUUAAACACAGGUCCAUUGCCAACAGAAAGUUUUGAACCUGAUCAAUACAAAGAGUUUUGGGAGGAGUUGAAGGUGCCGCUUGGGAUGGGACCCAAGUAUGAUGAGCUGAAGGCAGCAUUAGAGUUCUGUCCUGGUUGGAGUUUUGAAAAGCGUAAGUGGUUGUUGGGAUGUUAUUUCUUCAAGCCAUGGGACUGUACUGUUUGCAUCACAAUUCAAGGAUACCCUUCAAAGUGCAAUAAGGGUAUUCGACGAUGAAGCCAUGAGGUCGUAUCCAUGGGGUCGGACUGCAUACGAAGUUCUUGUUGACUCUCUGAAAACACUGUCUCCAGAUGGAAAGUCAUACACAGUAAGCGGCAUGAAGGACGUUUUAUUGGUUUGGGCGUAUGAGUCCAUCGUCUGUUUCGGUGAGAAGUUUGGGAGAGUGGUCAACAAUGAAGACGUUCCUCUUUUGCGAUGGGGUGGAAGGCGUACACGUUCAAGUUUUGAUACUGUCUUGUCUGACGAAAUCAAAGAUCAUGGCGAGGUAAUGUUUAACUGCUACUUAUACGACUGAGUUAACAGCUACUUAAUGGUUGAGUUUAUUUUAUAUUGUUGCCGAAUUAGUCUAUUUGAUGGCUGAGUUUAUUUUAUAUUGUGACCGAAUUAAUUUAUUUGAUGGCUUGGUUUUGUGUUAUUUGAUGGCUGAGUUUAUUUUUAUUGUGACCGAAUUAAUUUAUUUGAUGGCUUGGUUUUGUGUUAUUUGAUGCUGAGUUUAUGAUAAACUGGUGUUGCAGGUCCGUUUGAGGAGAAUGGUUAUGAAGGAGUCAAUUGAAGAGAUGUUUCCUGUAUGGUCGGAUGACCUGACGACCCACAACUCGUUAGGUUGGUAGAAGACAUACACGCAGGUAGAUACGUGAAAGGUUUCUGGGAAGUACAGAGGGAUGAGCAGGGGAAGGGGAAUGAGAAGAAGAAGAGAGAAGAAAACGAAGGGAGUUUCAUCAGAAGCUGAGCCAUCAACAAAGAAGCAGAAGAAAGAAGCUGCUGAAACGAGAAAGGGUUCUAGCGAGGAGGAAGCUGUAUUGGACAAAGCGACUCUGACGAAUCUUGUGAGUGCUCUGCAGAAUAUUUCAGCAAAAUUUGACGCUUACGAUUUUGACCGGAACCGGCCAGUGAUGGACGAGAAGACCCUAGAUAACGUGGUGAAAGCUGUAGUGCAGCAGAGUCUGAAAGUUUUGGGGGAAAGGAAAAUUCCCGACAACGAUGCUAAACUCUCCUCCGCCGGCGUAGAAAAAUCUUUAUCGGUGACAUCAUCACCUCGUAGGAGGUCGCCACCGGAAAAGUCGGACAAAAGUCCAGUGGUAGAACCGCAGGCCCAGGAGGAGAAGUCUGUAAAAACUCCAGUGACAGAACCGCGGCAGCAGAAAAAGCCUGUCAAAAGUCCAGAGCCGCCGCAGCAGAAAGAGAAGGCUGUCAAAAGUCCGGUGCCGCCGCAGCGGAAGGAGAAGGCUGUCAAAAGUCCGGUGCCGGCGCAGCAGAAACAGCAGAAGUCAGUCAAAAGUCCAGCGUUAGCUGAGACCCCUGCAAAGAAGAAUUCGGAGCUUGAGAAGGAUACAGUGGUGAGAAGGAUUUUGGGUGAUGAUUUUAAUGAAAUUGAUUUCAUCAGUGUUUCUCCUGCAAAGAUUACUAAGGAUGCUAAGGAUGGUAAGGAUGCCAACGUUCCAGCCUAUGGACGCGGCUUACGGGGCAAGGCCAAGCGUACUGUUACUGUAAAGGAUGAGGCUAUCGAGGAUAAGAAAAAAGCACAGCGGGCAGAGGCUGCGUUGAAGAGGAAGGAGAAGCAAGAGGCUAAGAAAAAAGAGAACGAGGAGAAGAAACAGAAGAGAAAAGCGGCUGAGUUACAAAAGAAACAAGAGGCUGGGUUACAGAAGAAAAAGAAGGAAGACGAGGCUGAGUUACCGAAAAAAAAGAAGGAAAAAGAGGCUGAGUUACCGAAGAAGAAGAAAGAAGAAGAGGCUGAGUUACAGCGGUCUGAGGAAUGUGUUGUGACCAACGACGAAGUUCUUGCGGAAGAUAACGCAUUGGCGGCGGAGUCUGAUGUCGAGCCAGCUGAAUUGAUUAGAUCUUCCGUGAUAAAGGAACUUCGGGAGAAAUCAGUUAAGUUAUCUCCACAAGGGUUUUCAUUGACGAACCUUGAUUCAGCACCAGAUUUUCCGUACAUUGGAGACAAUGGACAGACGACUUGCAUGAGGAAGAACAUUACGCCUUCAUCAGUAAUAUACGACCCUUGCGCACCUGUUGAUCCGGCGCGACUGGAAAAACUGAAGCAACACAUUAAGGCAAUUCCACCCAAACCACCAGCACCUAAAGAUAAACCAGAAGAACCCUCAGCUGAUCAUGAGAGUGACUUCUACAGCAUACUCAUGCAUGAAAGACCGUGGCCUGACAAAGAAUAUGGAUGGGUGUUUGAUAAUGUAAGUCUUUAUUAAGGCUGACUUAUAUAUUCUAUAAAGGCUGACUUAUAUAUUUAAUUCAUUAUAUUACGGCUGACUUAUUAUUUUUCUUUGUCUAGCAUAUCGCUGCGUAUAUGAACGUCCUCAUACAAAGGUCCAUGCGAGAUCCCACUCCAUUCUGGUCCAAGCGGAUUGGUUUCAUAGACCCUUGGUUGUUAAGUUCUUGGGCUUCCCUCGAUUACAGGCAGUUCAGGAUGAAACCUGCUUCGUUCAAGUUCAAAGACUGUGGUUAUGAAGCGUUGGUAAACGGGAGAUUCCCCGAAGAAUUUACAACAAACUUGAAGUGGUAUGCAGAUGUGGAUCACGUGUACGGAUGUCUUCAAACCGGCGGUAAUCACUGGGUGGCGUUUCACGUGGAUCUGAUCAAGGAGAAGAUAGAUUGCUACGAUCCAAUCUAUGGAGAGUCAACACCCGAAAGUGAGCAAAAAAUGCUAAAUGCUUUUAGACCUCUACUGGAGAUGCUUCCCUGGAUGUUGAAUGAGCUUAUUCCUGCCGAUCUCCGAAAGCAUUCUAGGAAGAGGUUCGCAUUCAGACGGAGGAGCAAAAGAUACAUUCCACAAAACAACAUGUCAGGUGAUUGUGGGGUUUAUUCGUUGAAGUUUGUGGAGUGUCUAGCGCUUGGUGUAACUUUUGAUGGCAUAAACGAUAGUAAUAUUCAAGGGUUACGGGUGAAGAUGGCAGCAGAUAUCCUCGAGGAAGGAGGAAAUGUUGGAAUGAACAAUUUGUUUUCAUAAUGAAACUGUGUUUGUUUGUGAACCUGUGUUUGUUGUUAUGUUAACUAUUUGACUUUGGAUAACUGCUGUAAUAACUCAGUCGUAUCGAUUAGUAAUACUCAGCCAGUACUCAUUGAUAACUCAGUCAUACCUCAAACAUACCCUAGAAUCAAAAUAAUUAAUAAUUUUUCAUUCGAAUGUUAUAUAUAAAGUCCAAUUAUCAAAAUAAUUAAUAAUAACUCAAUGUGUGAGCAUGAUCUUUGUUGACUAUACGAGUUUGGAAUCGAUUAUAAUCUUGAGGUAUAUGUUGUCUCUUACGAGUACCUAAAACUCUAGGCAGUGAUAUGAGGUGUGAGCAUGAUUCAAAACACGUAAACUGUUAUUGUGUUAUUUAUUAUGAAUUUGUGAUAUUUAUCAUAUCUUGUGGUUCGUACAUCAUAAAUCAUAACCCUAAACAAUCUUAUUCGGAACCCAAACCCUAAAUAACUAAACCCUAUACCCUAAACGGCAAACAACAAAUCAGCCGUAAAGGUCUUAAUAACUCAGCCUGUUAGUGUAAGUUAAUAUUUACAUAUGGCGCGAAAAUUUUAGAUAUUUUAUCUCGCGACCUUUAAUGUUCUAUACUUCCCCUAUAUAUAGCCCCCUUCUCUUGCACCUUCUCGCCUUAUCUCACUAGAAAACCUAAACAAUAUCUCUAUAUCGCCUUACAAAGUUAUGAUUGUUCCUGGUUAUUCAGAAAGGUUAGAGAACAGAGUCAAUGAGAUACUAAACUCUGAAAAUCGUGAAAACCUUCCCGUUCUAUACCCUGGCCCGGGUGUCUUGCUUGACAGCGUAAUCUGGUUUAAAUUUCUAAGCGAUCUCUCCCUGGCCAUCCCGUCGAUUUUAGCAGAAGGAUGGGUUCAUGAUUGGCCGACAUGGCGCGCCAUUCCCGAUCAUUUUAAGGAACGCUGGUUUCUUCAACUCGCUGUAAGGACAACAUCUUUGAAUUGUUUUUGAUAUUAGACAUAAUAACAGCACUUACAUUUGGAAAUUGGUUUUUUGUUGUAGCGCAAACGCACGUGGGCACGAAGAUAUAAUUUUCAAGUUUGGACAAAUUUUAAUCUGGUGGCCAGAACGGUGUUUCGUUGUCAGAUGCGCCUCUUGAAGAGGAGGUGGGCACAUGGGGGUGAGAAGCCUGCGUGGAUGCUAACUAGAGUUUGGCGUGAUCUUGUCCACAUGUUUGAAGAAUUUGGUCCUGAUAAUUUUGGUUUUAGAAAUUGAUUUGUUGUUUUUGUUUGUAUUCAGCCGUCAAGUUUUUGUAAAGUUGUUUAACUCAGCCGUUAAGUUUCUAUAAAGUUGUUUAACUCAGCCAUUAAGUUUCUAUUAAGUUGUUUAACUCAGCCGUUUAGUUUCUAUAAAGUUGUUUAACUCAGCCGUUAAGGUUUUAUAAAGUUGUUUAACUCAGCCGGAAUUGUUUGCGUCAAACGUCAGUGUUUCAGUUAAGUAACUCAGCCGUAAUACGAAUUAAGAUACUAAUAACUCAGCCUUAUAUUGUAAAAAUACAAAGCCAUAGUUAACGCUAUUUUCAAUGUAUUAUUAUGGCCGCCAUUACUUAAUCGAGACCAGUAUUAGAGUCCUUUAUUCUCUUAUUAUUAUACGUGCGAGAAAUUCCAUCGUCAUUGAGAAUAUCGAGACUCAUUAUUAUGGCCGUCAUUACAUUAUCGAGACUACUAUUAUUAGAGACCUUUAUUCUCUUAUUAUUAUGUGCAUGAGAAAUUUCGUUUGCAUUGAGAAUAUCGAGACUCAUUAUUAUACGGCUGGCACGCAUGUAUCGGAUUAUUUACAUAAUCGAGGUAUUGUUAUUUUUAAUGUAACUCAGUCAAUACGUCUACGUUAACUCAGCCAAAAUAUAGACGCUAACACAGCCGUAAUACGAAUUCAACUUAAGUGUUUGAUAAAAUAAUAAAGAACCUUUCGUAUUUCUUGAUUUGAUUGAGUAUUCGUCAUAAUUAAAGUGCAUCACGUGUGUGGAAAAAUACGGCUCAAACCUAAUAUCGAGGCAUUUAAUAGUUUAUUAAUUUAAAUUAUUCCUCUUUAUUUGAAUUUUUUUAAAAAAAUGAUUUUAUAUUACUACCACUAUUGUUUUAACUUUGUCUUUCACACCAAUUUCUCUUUCAUUCAAAGAAAAUGUCUUCUUCAUCAUCUGUGUCUGGUAACACUUACUUUCACCGCCGGCAUGUGGAAAGAGGAACGCCGAAACAGUGUUGGUGUGGUGAACCCGCUGAAUUAUGUACAUCUGCAUCACGGGCUAAUCCAGGAAGACUGUACUAUUGCUGUCGCAAAGGAUAUAUUAAGGUUUGAUUUUUAAUUUUAUUCAUUAUACUGUCAAUGUGAUACUAAGAGCUGGGCAUGUUGGUGAAAUCAGAGACAUUUAUUCAAAUGGGCGGACGAGUGCUUGGUGGAAGAGGUAGAAGAUAUGAAAUCGGUGAUGAGUGACAUGACCAAAGGCAUAUCAGAUCUGAGAGUAGACGUUGGUCGGUUGGAGAAAGAACUCGGUAAAGCGGAAAAGAUGAAGUGUUUGAUGUUUCCAGUGGUGGUUUGUGGGUUUGGUAUGGCCAUAUUUUGGCACUAUUUCUUUGCGUAGUCAUGUGUUGUAAUCAUAAUUUAGACGCAAUGUUUUUAGUAACUCAGCUAUUACGUUCAAUGCAACUCAGCCAGUACGUUAAUUAAUUCAUAAUCAAACAAUAACCCAGCCAUAAUACGAGUAUUCGUCAGUCAUAACGUUUUAAUAACUCAGUUAUAACGUUCACUGCAAUUCAGCCGUUACGUUAAUUAAGUCACUAUCAAACAAUAACCCAGCCAUAAUAUGAGUAUUCGUCAGUCAUAAUGUUUUAAUAACUCAGUUAUAACGUUCACUGCAUCUCAGCCGUUACGUUAAUUAAGUCAUAAUCAAACAAUAACCCAGCCAUUAUAUGAGUAUUCGUCAGUCAUAAUAAGAUAGUAACUCAGCUAUAACGUUCAGUGGAAGUCAGUCAUAAUCAAACAAUAACAUAAACAAUAACUCAACCAUAAUAUGAAUAUUAGUCAGCCAUAAAAAGAGACAUACAUAAAUUUCUGGUUCGACAUACAUAAGUUUAGGUUCAAAAUCACUCUUCCCUUUCCGGACAUACACACAUUAGUGGAGUAGUUUUCCCAUCUCCAACCACAUUGAACACAAAUAAGUCUCCUAUGGCGCAUCUGUUAGCACGACAGAACUUUCUCCAGCCUCUUCUGAUGUAAUACAUGCCGUCUGCUUCGCUAAAUCGCAAACUCACAGUCCAUGAAUUUCCCUCUUUGUUGACAAGUAUUAUCUCUUGGCAUUGUUUGUUCAAAGCAGUACAAGUCGUAGCUCCCUCAGGAAGAUACUGCAAACACAGAACGUAAAGACACAGAACAGAUCAAACCAUAUGUUAAUAACUAACUAAAUACUGCAAACACAGAACGUAAAGACACUGAACAGAUCAAACCAUAUGUUAAUAACUAACUAAAUAUGGUCUAUAACUGAAAAUCGACUCACAAGUUUGUCUUCUUUUAGAUUCGAAGCAGUGACCUCAGCCUGAAAACAAUAGUCAAAUGAGAAAGAAGGAGCAUCAUCCGCAUCGGCUUCUUCCUUGAUGAUGUGAGGAUGUGUAUACUGAAUCUCACAACAGCUAGGACCAAAUGGUGUGACAUGAAACACCAUAUCUCCUUCGUGUUUGAAGAUGACAAUGUCACCGAUUUGAAGGUCAUGUGCUGUGGUGAAAUCUUUCCAACCUCCGGUGAGUCUCCUGCCUUCUUGUAUCACUUCCCAAGUUUGAUCUGUAGCGUCCGAUCUUAGUUUCCAUGUUUUCCGGUUUGUCUUCCCUUCUAUGUGCUGUGAGAAGAAGCCAAGUGGUAUUGUCUGCAGGUCAGAAAAGCCAAAGUUAAGCAAACUCUAAAAUAGGAACAUAUACACAUGAGAAAUAGAGAGUGUGUGUCUACCACGCCACUGUGGAAAUCGGGAAGCAGAGGCUUCAAGAAAUGAGGUUUGUGCGAAUUAGGCAUCUGCAAACAAGAAAAGAAUGGGAAGAAAACAUCAUCGAACCUAAGCUGAAUCCACAAAUCUGCAAAAGAGAGGCUUCGGUUUUACCUUCGUAUCGAGACGCUUCGAAAUCGCCUGUCGUCGAGAGCUUUUCUUUUUUUUUCGCGUUGGGACGAAAAUGAUUUCUUUUUUUUUUUCCUUGUGUAAAGUAAAUAAUGCCGGAAAAUAUAACUCAGCCGUAACAUUGUUAAUAAUUAAUAAUGCCGAAGAAUAAAACUCAGAAGUAACAUUGUUAAUAAUUAAUAAUACCGAAAACUAAACCUCAGUCGUAAAAUUGUUAAUAUUUAAUGAUGUCGAAAAAUAAAAGUUGGCCAAAAGAGUCAUACAUAAUUUAACUCAGUGUCGAGUUAUGUCCUGACACGCAUGUCCGAGUAAUUUACGAUAUCGAGGUCUUUAUAUGUUUAUUUUAUUUGGACACGCGUGAUCUUUAUAUUUAAUAUGAUUUCCCUAUUAUAUUUCCAAUAUUUACAAGUAAAAGAUAAAGGAAAAACCAGAGUCGACUUCUAAAACCUAAAGUAAGUCUCUUUCGUCCAAAAUCGAUUUUGAAUUAUUUUUUGUAUUUUGGCCUUGUUCGAUUUUGCAUUAUUUUUUGUGUGCUAUGAUGUAUAAAUUAGAUGGAUCUACAGCGUGGAAUUCCAAGGACGUGCGACUGUGGAGCUGCUACCAUUGUGUUAACGUCAGGUACAAUAAAGAAUCCGGGUAGAAGAUUUUAUCGAUGUGGAGCAAAUUCGGGUCAAAACCAUGUUUUCAAAUGGCUUGAUGAAGCACAUGAUGAAGAGUUUGUAGUUGUGGCAAACAAACUCGCGACGAUAGAGCAGGAUUUGGCCGCUAUAAAAGCAGAAUUAGAUGAUAUGAAGAAAGACAUAACUGAGAUCAUAAAAAUUAUUGAAUGUCUUAGGAUGAAGUCUUAAAUGUAUUAGUUGCUACUACUACUUCUUUGUUUACUCAGAUUCUGUACUCAUAAGUCAGUCUAUGUUUAUGUAACUCGGAUUUAACUCAGCCGUUGUUAAUUUCUUCCGAAACAACAACUCAGCCGUAACAUGUAAUAAUAUCAGUCUUAACGUUUAGGUGAACAAUCAAAAAACAGUCAUAAGAUGAAUAAAUGAGAAUAACUCAGCCGUAAGAUGAAAAUAACUCAGCCGUAAGAUGAAAAUAAGUCAGCCAUAAGAUGAAAAUAACUCAGCCAUAAGAUGAAAAUAAGUCAGCCAUUAGAUGAAAAUAACUCAGCCAUAAGAUGAAAAUAAGUCAGCCAUAAAAACAGAAUAUAUAAUUUUUUGUUCGACAUACAUAAUGGCAUAGCAAAAAAAAAGAUAAGAUUCUGAUGCAGAGACAUCUUCACCACUUACUUGUGUCCCUAAACAGGCUUAUCGGUUCAAAAUCACGAAAGAACAAGGAAAUCUCUUUGAUCCAGAAACAGCGCUCACACAUGUUGUCGUCCUUAGUCACAUCAAUGUGCCAUAGGCAGAGACAUUGUCGGUCCACAACAUUUGCACAUUGGCAAAGGUAGAAGGACGGAACAUAAGUAGAAGUGAACAUGGCCUUAAUUUGACGGAACUCGUCAGUAUGCCACAAACCCCAUCCCCAUUUCGCAUCUCGAACAAGUUUCCCGACCCUGUCAACAGUUGCUCUUGGAAUUCUCCGAAAAUACUGCGCAUCACCGUAAAAGAUUGCUUGAGUCAUAGCGUGUGUAUACACUGCACGCUCAUAUCCUGCAUCUGCUGCACGCUUGAGGAGAGAAAGGCCAUAAUCUUGCUCAUCGUAUGAGUAGAAAAACUGUACACCCUUUACAUAAAUUGUGCUUGGAUUGUUCUCAGCGUAGCAAGUUUUCAACAACUGAGAUGGCAUAAUGAGACCCCAGGGAAAGGAUAACACAUCGAAAUAAUGGUAUACCCUACGCAUCUCUGCUAACGCCUUCAUCGACCUGGACGAUGCUCUGAGGCGGUAGAGAUCUUGGAAGGAGUUACGGGCCACACGUUCAACCACCAUUGCCUGAAGAUCUUCAGGCAAUUCAAGCAGAGGGAAAUAUUCCAUUUUCUCUGAGAGGACAGUUGUGUAAAAGAUAGAGAGUUGAAGAUGUGUAAUUGUUUGAGAAGUACCUUAUUUAUCUGCAGUUAACGGUUGUAGUUUCGUAUCGCGGCGUUUCUUAUUUCUUAUUUUGAGCGGGAAUUUAAUCCAUAACUCAGCCGUGUAUUACAAUAACUCAGCCUUAGUUGACUUCGCGACGUUUCGUGUUUCUAGCGGGGAAGUUUUUUUCAACUGCGUUUGAAUAAAAGAGCUGACAUUAGAAAUCACGACAAUUAUUAGGCGUGUGAGUAACAUUAUCUCAGCCAAUGAAGAUUAAUUUCUCUUAAUUUAAUUCGCUACUUUCGUAUUCCACUUUAUAAUCAAUAAUUACGUAGGGGCUAUUACGUAACGUAGGGCAAUUAAGUACGGACAUUUCGUUUUUCGAUGUCUGUGUCUCUCUUGAGUAAUGGGAAGCGGGCAAAUCAAUGAAAAUAAAAACCCAACCACAAUACAAAAUUUGAAAAACAUUAACGCAGCCGUCAUAGAACAUUAAAACAAAAAAACCCAGCCGUAUUACAACACAAAACCCAGCCGUAUUACAAUUAAUAAUCCAGCCGUUGUGCAAAUCAAUGAAAAUAAAACCCAGCCGUAUUACAACACAAAACCCAGCCGUAUUACAACACAAAACCCAGCCGUAUUACAAAACAACAUGAAAAGCAAUUGCUUAUAUCGGACAAGUUCUCGCAUUAUGUCCACUUUGACUGCAACGAGAACAUAUGUGCUCUUUCCUAGGACGUUUGUUUGCAAGUGCAACUUCUAAAGCAGAUUUCAUCCUAUUUUUUUUAGGUCUUCCCGGUUGUUGACGAAUAAACGGUGGAAAGCACUGUACGUUAGCCACGUUAUCUGGAACAGGUAGCGCUGAGUCAACCGGCAUGACCGAUUCAGCGUAUGCGCUAGCUAAAUAAGUGCUUUUAUAGUAAGGACUGCACAGUGAUAUACGAGAAACAUUUCUUUCCUCUGCAGCUGCGAUUGCGUGUACACAUGGUAUUUUCUCGACAUCGAAACGCCGACAUGUGCACUUUCGCUCAACCAAAUUAACAACAUUCAAAGACUCGCCAGCAGCGCCAUAUUUAACUUCAGUGUGAUGGUCAUCAAUCCUUUGAACCGUCCAAUCCCGGGAGGCACUUACACGUCCCUAUUAACAAAACCCAAUAUUCGUGAAACGGCUUACUUAUUAUUUAUAAAGCUGGCUUAUGCAAUAUAACGACUGACUUAUUAGAUUUAAAGACUGACUUAUUUUACUGUUACGACUGACUUACUUGUAAUAGUUUCUCCACACCGCGCGUGAGUGUGGUUGACUGCGAUCUGGCAUCCACUCUUCGUUCAGCAAACCAUCUGGUCAUCAUAACCCGUAUCGAUUCCAAUAUUCGAACAAUGUUAAGACCUCUAGCAUGCGAUAAUGCUCUGUUCAUUGAUUCCGCUAUGUUCGUAGUCAUCAAAUUGUACCUCUCGCCCGGGAAAUAAACACGUGUCCACAGUCUGACAUCAGCUCUUUCGAGGUAGCCGUGGAGAUCAGGAUUAAGUGCUUCAAUCUCCUCGAAAAUCAUAUCAAAGUCAGACAUUCUAAAACAUCUCGCCGCUUUCUUCACCAGCCGAAAUACAUCUUUUCCUUUGUACCGUCCCAAUAUGUUUUUAUACAAAUGAUAGGUGCAUAUUCCACGAGCAGCUAACGGAUACACAUUUGUAAUUGCUUUCCCUAUCGAGUUAUGCCUAUCUGAUAUUAUCGCAAGACCCUCCUGGUCAGGAAUCAACACUUUUAGUUGCGUAAAAAACCAAUUCCACGAAUCAUCAUUUUCAGUGUCAACCACUGCGAAGGCUAUUGGAAAAAUCUGAAAGUUACCAUCCUGAGCUAGUGCUGUGAGUAGCGUCCCUUUAUAUUUACCAUUAAGAAACGUACCGUCGACGACAACAACUUUGCGCAUGAAAGGAAACCCAUUAACGCUCGCACCAAACGCAAGAAACACAUACAUGAAUCUUCCAAGCUCAUCGAUUUGAAGACGCGUAACUGUAUUCGGAUUUGCCCUUCUUAUCAUGUAUAAGUAAGAAGGCAAGAGUUCAAAACCACACUCAGGUGUGCCCUCAUCGAUUUCCCUUGCACAUUUAAGCGUCCGGUGUGAUUUCCAAUAUUCCAUCUGCUCACAUGAAAAAACAAUUUACAUAACUCAGCCACAUCAUAUCAUUAAGACGGUCACAACGUAAACAUAACUCAACCAUAGUUUUGUAACUCAGCCAUUUCUAACAUAAAAUAACCCAGCCUAUACUCUACCAUAACUCAGCCGUUGUAACAUAAUUACCUUUACACCAAACUGCUUAGUGAUAGCUAUUCCGACACUCUCAGGGCGAACGGCCGGACCAACGUCGCCGAGAAAGUUCUUGUACAACUCUCCUAAAAUAUCCGGUGUUGCAUUUCGAGAUCGAUUAGAACGCUCAGUUACAGAACAUGCAUGAUCCGAGUCGUAAAUACGAAUAUAAAACUGCGGGGACAAUCCUUCGGUAGAUGCACGAACUCUCCAUGUACAUCCAUCAACCCAACACUUAACAACGUAUGUUGUCAGGUUUGAUAUUUCUACAUCAAAAUCAAAUUGAUGCCUCACUGUAAAAAGUUUCAGUCGUCUCUUCAAAUGCUUUUUAGUCAAGUAUCGUUGUCCUACCGCAAGGUCUAACGACGACAUCUCCAACUUCAAAACCUCCAGAUUCCCUUUAGAUUCGCUCAUCAAGAAGUUCUGAUAUCUCUUCUUGGAAGGUAGCGUUGGUGAAUCUUCGUCUUCUUCGAUAGGAGACUCACCGUAUGUGCUGAAGUUAUCAUCUUCAGAUGACGCACCGUCCGAGUCAUCGAACAUAUCAAAUCGACUUUCAAAUUCAUCAUCUUCUUCGUUUUCUUUGCCUAUUUCAUCUUCUCCGGCUACGUCGUGUAUUUCAACGUUACUAAAGCAGUCAUUCUCAAUUUCAUCUUGUUCAUCCUCCAAACUGCAACCAUCGUAACUCCCAUUCUGUAUAGACUCAACUUCUAAAGCUUCUUCUUCUAAAGCUUCUUCUUCUGAAGCGUCUUCUUCUGAAGCUUCUUCUUCUGAAGCUUCUUCUUCUGAAGCUUCUACGUCUGAGCUGUCAUCCUUUUUCUCUGUAAUCUCCACACAGAGACGUUGUUGUUCGCUUUUCUUUAAGCUUAGAAAACAUUGCAAUUGUCGAGUGUUGGACACGUAAACUGGUGGAGUGUUAUGCGCCAUUGUUUUCAAUGUUUUAUUCGAAAACAUGUAGCUAAGCAGAAUAUGAACCUUCAAAUCAUUCAAACCGUAAUCGUCGAUGACAGACUUUGUGAAAUCUUCAAGUUUAGUUUUCUCACCUAAAUGAAGAACUCUACACCCUCUACUGUCGACGUUGAAUACAUAUCGUUUUUUCAUAAUCCAUUUACCGGAAACAAUAAUAACGGGAUCCAUUACCAUAUGAGAAAGAUGAAGAGGAUAGAUAACUGAGAUGAUGAAGAAGAAAAGAAAGGCUGUGUAAUCAUUCAAAAAUAAGAUGAAGAAGACAACUGAAAGGUCUCGUAACUCAGUUGUAAAUUGGGCGACCGUUAGUGAUGACAUGUCAAAUCCGAGUUGAUGACAUGGCAGAUGACAUGGAACAUCGAUUAAUCAGCCGACAAACAAAUCAGUAACUCAGUCAAAAUAAGUCAGCCAUCAUGUUUACACUUUGUCAGCCGAUACAUGGAAACAUUCUAGUAAUUAAUCUUUUGACGGUAAGUCAGCCGCAAUAAGGAUGAACAACCAUAUGUCAGCCGUAUCGUUACGUAAAUCAGCCAUCAAACGAGAACAUUCUAGUAAUUAAUCUUUCGCUCAUACGUCAGCCGCAAAGCAGCUGAGUUUACUGUUUAUCCAUGCUUUAACGGCUGACUAAUACAAACCCAGUCGUAACAGCAUCCCAUAACUCAGCCGUGGCUUCAAUAACCCAGCCCAUCCAUGUUCCUUUACUCAGCUGAAAAAAAGUUUCUCAGCCGUUUCUUAACCACGACUCAGCCAAAUUUUCCAGAAAUCAAACCGCCGAUGUAUAAGUCAGCCGUCAUUUGUAUCAUUAAGUCAGCCGUGAUCACAUAACUCAGCCGGAUUUCUGUAAAUCAGUUGUAUCGGCAAGCUGACUUAUAGUUUUAAGUCAGCCACUUUCACUUAAGUCAAUCGUAUGUAUUAAGUCAGCCGUAACGUAAAGAUAAAUCGGCCGUAACUACGUAUCUAUCGCUUAACAGCUGACUUAAUGAAAAUACGGACGCGAAUUCCUCCGUGGCGCCGGUUUUUUGCCUACGUGGCAGCGAAAAGUAAUGGCAUUCUCGUAAAUACGUUUUUUCUCAUAACGUAAAAAAAUGGUACGCUUGGUAUCGAAAAUAUUCUAGUAAUAAAAAAAAGAUCUGUAUCAUUCUAGUCAAUACAAUUAAAAUAUGUAACAUUCUAGUAAACUUCCCUAAUAUAAACGCAUACGCCAAACAUGAGCGCAUAAAUUACAUUCAAACCAUUAAAGCUUUAGCCUUGAGAUUAAAAACUAAUGAUGUGUUCUUCUUUCAUUCUUAAACCUAUUAUAAUCAGCGAGCAAGCUCUCAAUAACCUUAUGCUUCAUAUUAUCCACCAAACCAUUUAAAACCUGCAGAAAGCAAAUAAAAACAUAAGAUAAUAUAUAAAUUUGGAAUAUAGUGUUUUGAGUUUGCAAAUGCAUUUAUUUCUAACCGCAUUGGCAACGUUUCUCCUAACAUCCUCUGGUACAAGCAUGAGAACCGUAGGAAGCACGAAGCUAAUGUUCAUCUCUAGUCGACCUUUGAGCCUUGUGUGCCUUCCGCCUCGGUCUGGGUACAAUGCUCCUUGAACUCCAAGAGUGAAAUCAGAUGGCUCCAUGACCUGGUCAAGCCCUUGAAGCUCCCAUUUCAUCUGAAAAUAAACCGUUCAAAGAGAACAAAAGAGUGAGGUAUUUAGACUUUUUAGUACUUCCUCCAUUCAACGAAGAUAUAAAUCUUGGAUAUUUCACACAAUUUAAAUAUAAAUUUACAAUUCUAAAAUAUUUUUUUAAUACCAUAAUUUCAAAAAUUCAAUUUAUUUCAACAGUAUUGUCUUUAAUCAAUAUGAUCAGUAAUAAAGGUAAACAAGUAUCAUAAAACCUUUCUCUUUUUGAAGCAAUUAAAAAUUUCAAAACUUGUAUUUUUGUGGAAAGGAGGGAGUACCAUGUUAAGCUCAAGGACUUUGGUUAUGUCUAGAGGUACAUCAGGCGGGUAAUCCUGACCGUUGGAUUUGCAUCGGAUCCGCAUGACCACCACUGGCCACGCAGUGAGGAAGAGAAAUUUUAUUGGCAACAUUUGGAUUCUCCAUUCUUCCUGCACAAGUAAAUCAUGUCGGUCUUUUCGUUAGAGUAACCAAAGAAUGCAACCCCACACUUAUAAAAAUGGAACAUGGAUGUUACCUCGUUAAGCCUAUAGCUUUUGGGUUUAUCAGGAAACAUUGCUUUGAAAACCCUCGACUUAUCCUCCAAAUACUCAUCGAACAACGCCUGAAGUUUCAAAGCAUUGAAACACAAACGGUUUUACACUGAUGCAUACAUAUAUAACAUUAUAGAGAUUGAAAGUGAGAAUGAGAUACCAGAGGAGACUCGUGCAGUUGAACAUCGGUAGUUAUUUUAGAUGAAUAUUUGGAGGGUUUUACGGGUGACAACUGACACUUAACUCCCCACCGUAUUGUUCUCAUCUCCACCGCCACCGACCGGCGUCUUCUGAACAUCUUCGGGCAUGACAAAACCGUUGAGCUUACAGCCAUUUUACCAGUCUUUUUUUUGGUCUUCAAGAUUGGAUGAUAUUUGAUCUUUCCCACUUUUCUCUCUCUCUAUAUUUAUAUAUAUCUUCAGAGGAAAGAUUGCGUCUUUGCUUCUCUUUAAUACGUUUUGAGACUUUUGUUAAAGAAAAUAGAGACCGAGAGUAACAUUCUCACGGUACGCAUUUGGAAGAUAGUGGAUUUCGAGAAAUAAUUGUUGAAACAUUGCUUUUCAACCUCUAUAGUAACCGGGUACAUAUUCGGUUUGGUUUAAUUGUUUCAGGUUUUGUAAAAAAUAUAAGUCCACUUCAUUUAGUUUACUUUGGUUUGGUUUAGUUAAGAGGUUACCCAUUUAUUUUGCCAUCUACGUGGUGAUAAUGUAAAGCCUCGUCUGUCACGCAGUUGUUGAUGAGAGUGACACGAGAACAUUGAACGUUGAGAAGAAUCUGUAGAAUAACUUCUACCACACGCUGAGGUUUUGACUAAAAAAAAAAAAUUCAUUUCUUUCGAAACCGACAAACUCUCGGACCGAAUACUAAGAAACCGAUUUACUUUGGCGCCUAGGAAUAUGGAUUACUAACUUGGCUUUUAAUGUAAGCAAUAAGCAAAGAACUCUUGUUGUUAGUAAAUCUUUAACUCUAUAAUCUUGUUUUUCAGGCUGGCUAUGUAAAUUAAAACAAUUAAAAUCUUAUAUAGUAUGUUAAGAUGACUGUUCAUAAACGAUUGUUUCAUGUUGGAUUGAGAAACUAUACAUGAUUGAGCAGUGGCAUUAAAACUCGGUUUUAGUAGAUAACUUGUGUAAUCUUCUCUCAUUCUUGAACCUGCCAUAGUCAGCGAGCAAACUGCCAUUAACCUUAUGCUUCAUAUUAUCCACUAAACCUGUCAAAACCUGUAAAUGGGUCCAAAUCAGAUCAUGUGUAAAUCAUAAGAGAUAGUCAAAUAAGGUUUUAUAUACCGCAUUGGCCAAGUUCCUCCUAACGUCUUCAGGUACCAAUUCAAGAACCGGGGGGAGAACAAAGCUUAUGUUCAUCUCUAGCUGACCUCUGAGCCUUGUGUGCUUUCCUCUCCGGUCUGGGUACAAUGCUCCUUUGACUCCCAAACUGAAGUCAGACGGUUGCAUCACUCGGUCAAGCCCUUUAAGUUGCCAUCUCGUCUGAAAAGAAGCAUUUUAAGAGUUUGAGUAACGGAAGAUGAAGAAACAAAGAGAGAGACAAGUUAUUACCAUGUUGAGCUCAACAACUUUGGUUAUGUCUAAAGGUAUGUCUGCCGGGUAAUCCUGACCGUUGGAUUUGCAACUUAAACGCAUAUCGACCACAGGCCACACAGUGAGGAAGAGGAAAUUAAUUGGUAACAUCUGAAUCCUCCACUCUUCCUGCAAAAAUUCAAUUUAUCCAAGUAAACUUAAAAUAGUGAAAAAGGGGGCGUUCCGAGAAUUGAACUCGGGACCUCUCGCACCCUAAGCGAGAAUCAUACCACUAGACCAAACGCCCGUUUUGAACUACUUUUAUAUAUAACUAAUGUUAGUCAUAUUAGUUGACGUACCUCGUUAAGCUUAUGGCUUCUGGGUUUGUCAGGGAACAUGGCUUCGAAAACUCUCGAUUUAUCCUCUAAAUAGUCGUCGAACAACGCCUAAAAGUUCCUCAAAAUCACAUUUAAGAAACGCACCAAAACAGUUUAAACUGAUUCGUGUUAUAGAGGGAGAGAGAGAAGGAGACCUGAGGAGACUCGUGGAGAGGAAUAUCUGUGGAGAGUCUUGACGAGUACGUGGCAGGUAUGGAUGAUACCUGACACCUAACUCUCCACCGUGUAAUUGGUCUCAUCUCCGUCUUCACCGGUCGGUAAGUUCCGAACAUGGGCGAUGACAAAACCGCCAUUUCACCGAUUAUCUUUUCAAUAUCAGAACUUUUAUAUAUUCCACGUUUCUCUUUUGAUUUCUCUCUGAAAGUUAAAAACUUUUGUAAGAACUUUUAGAUUUCUCUAGAGGAGCGAAGUUGCUUUUUGCUAGAGAUUUUGGAGGGAUAAGGGGAUAUCUGUCUUUCGGGCUUCUAUGUCCACGUGGCAUAUUUUGAGACAAGCCACAUCAUCAGCAUUUGGAAUUCGUAGGGCCCUUCUUUUCUUUGUACUCCUUUCCUUUCCAUUAGUGGAUGAGAAUGACACGAGACGAAACUCAAAAAAAAAAAAAAACCUCAAAUGUAUUAUCUGACGACAAAGGAAGGUUCGACAAACUAAACUCAAUCCUUAUUUUGCUUUAGUUCCACUGUACAUGUUCUGUCACAUUAAAAGAUCAAGAAUAUUCAAAUCCUACGAGCAACGCAUUGUAUUGUCGGAUGAAUUUCCUUGAAAGUGUAUGGUUUGAAAUUUCAGGACUGUAGAGGGCACACAGAUGAUCCUCCUAAAGAAUGUAGAUAUCAAACCUUAAGUUCUGUGAUUUGUUCUUCAAUUUCUUGCUUAUAAAAGCAAACUAAAAUUAAAUGUGGAACGUAAAUGCCACAAUUGAUUCACGGCUUCGUUGAGCUCACUUCACUCUCUUUGUUAAAACUCAAAUACAUCUCGAUCUUCUUAGUUUCAACAACCAAAGAGGAUAUAAAAGACAAUCUUUCACGGUUUAUUUCUAACAUUAGUAAGAAAAGGACUCGUCUCUUUCUCUCUUAAUUCCUUCACGGUUAAAACCUCCAGUCAAACCGUGAACACACUUAUGGGCCUUAUAUCCUAACUGGGCCUUAAUUUUAAUUUUAACUUCUAGUCCAAUCGGUAAUCGCUUCGAUCUGUCGGCAGACAGAAUAGAAUAAUGGUUUCGCCGGUUAAACCAGUCGGCAAUCGGUACAAUCAGAUUGCAUAAAAGCAAAUCAUAAUAAGUCACGUGGCACAGUUUACACGGUUCGUAGACUCGUAGUGGUCGCCAUGUAAACAGCGGGAAAACAGGGCCCCACACAUAUUAACUAAGGAGUAGGACCAACAAAUCAUCACCACGAAACGCAGCGUUUCCCCCUUCGUCUCCGCGUUUAAAAACUUCUUUCACCCUUUCGUCAUUUUCGUCAGAUCCAAGAGAGAGAGAGAGAAAUUAGAAAAAGAUCUUGAAACGAUGCCGUACUACACCAAAGACGAGGACGAAGUCGACGAUUUCGACGAGUUCGAUCCGACGCCGUACAGUGGAGGCUACGACAUCACCGUGAUCUACGGCCGUCCGAUCCCUCCUUGCGACGACACUUGCUACCCUCUCUCCUCCGCAGCGGAUGAAGAUUUCGAGUACGAGAGACCUGAAUUCACCUCGUACCACGAUCCUUCCGCCUACGCCGAAGAAGCUCUCAACACCGAGUACAGCAGCUACUCCCGCCCCAAGCCCCGUCCCGGUUUUCGACCCGGUUCAGCCGGAGGCGGUCACGUCCAAGGUGAGCGACCCGAUCAGAGUUACGGAUCCGGUUACGGUGGUCAGACGGAGGCUGAGUACGGUAGGAGACCUGAAUCGGGGUACGGCGGAGCGACGGAGACGGAGUAUGGCCGGAGACCUGAGCAGAGUUACGGAUCUGGUGGCUACGGUGGCAGAUCGGAGGUUGAGUCUGGUGGUUACGGUGGCAGAUCGGAGGUUGAGUCUGGUGGCUACGGUGAUAGAUCGGAGGUUGAGUCUGGUGGAUACGGUGGAAGAUCGGAGUCUGGUGGUUAUGGUGGAAGAACGGAGGUUGAGUAUGGCCGGAGACCUGAAUCUGGAUAUGGUGGGAGAUCGGAGACGGAGACCGGGUACGGAUCCGGGUAUGAGAAGAAACCGAGCUUCGGCGAGGAGAGGAGCGAGUAUGAGCGCAAGCCUAGCUAUGGAAGGUCUGAGGAUCAAGAGGAAGGAGGUUACAGGAAGCCUAGCUAUGGGAGAUCUGAGGAUCAGGUUGAGAGCUACAUAAAGCCCAGCAGCUACGGGAGGUCUGAGGAAGAGGAAGGAGGAGGCUAUAGGAAGCCUAGCUAUGGAAGGUCUGAGGAACAGGAGGAAGGGAGUUACAGGAAGCCUAGCUAUGGCCGUCGUAAUGAUGAUGAUGAUGAUGAGGAGCGCAGGAACCGUUCUGGUGAUGAUGAGGAAGGGAGCUAUGGCCGCAAGAAAUAUGUAAGUUCAAUAAGUUAAAGUUAUAGUCAAUUUGCAUCUAGAUUAUUGUGUGGAAAAUAAGUUUGAUUGUUUAAACAUAAAACCCUUUUGUUGAUGGACUGAUCUCAACAUUGAAACUAAAGAUUAUAGUUUUGGUGAUAACACCCAUUACCCCCUUUAACUUCAUUGGUUCAGUAUUUGAUUUAACAGUGACAUCGUGUAGGUUAUAACAAUCAUAGUACAGAACUUACAUUGUGUUUUUUGCAUCUAGUUUGUUUUGAAAAUAAGUUUUAGUUUGGUUUUGAUCACAGUGUAGCUGUGUAACUCUGUUUUCACAUCCUGAAAUGGAUUUCCUUAAUUUGAAAGCUAUGUUCUACAAUCCCAUAAUAACGUUCCUGGUUCAAUGUUUGUUUGAAUAUAGACAUCUUGAAUAUGUCCCAUUGUUGAUCUUAGUGUAGAGUAGUCUCCAUGUUGAACUAAAGUGUUUGUCUUUCAUUCCCUGUAACUCUGUUUUCACAUCAUGGAAUGGAUUAGCCUCGGUUGAAAGCUAAGUUCAGUGUUUGAUUGAAAUUGCACAUCAUGUAUAUGACAUUUGAAGAUCAUAGUUACAGAGUAUCUAUCUCCAUUCUUAUGGUGGCCGUUAAUAGAGGCAUCACUGACUAAAGUUUUCGCUUAACGUUAUUCAUUUCUGCAUCAAAAUUUGUAGGGUGGCAAUGACUCUGAUGAUGAUGAGGAGAAGAAGCAGCAUCGUUACAAGCAUCACCACCACCAGAGGCGUCGUGAUGAAGACGAUGACUAAAGCCCUCACUCAGUGCUGGAAUCGAGUGCUUCUACUUAGCUUCAUAUUACUAAAUAAAAAGCUAAGUCAUAUUUAUCUUUGGAUGUUGUUGUUGUGUUUGUUUGAUUCUCUCUAGAUACAGCAGAGUCUGUGUCUGGGUUUGUUUCUGGUUCAUUAUAAGACCUUGAAUUGAUAUCGGGUCAUCAUCAUGAUGUAAACUGUUGCUACUCUGUGUUUCGUUUUUAUGUUAUGGAACUUUUCUCUUUUAUGGCUUCUGUUGUUUUGGUUUUGUCGAUAUUAUUAAUAUUAAAAAUCAAAAGUCAUUGCCGAGAAGGAAAAAUAUUUUGUGGUAAAAGCUCGAUUUUUUAUAUUGAAUAUUUUAUGAUUAAAAACAGAAAAAGGAAAAUCGGUUUUGUAAUAGGAAUGGGUUAAUCAGAUACCUAUAUGUACAUUACACAUCUUUUUGCUUCAACAUCAGAAACUUACAACCAAACAAUUCUAAAAGAAGCAAUGUCAAGCGCUACAGUCCUCGAUGAAUCUAGCGUUCCUAGCCCCAGGAGUACAUGGAGGUGAGAUUCCACUAAAUAUAUUGUUAUGUAACAUAAGAUUUUUGAUUAUAAACAUUAUACCGAAACGAAUUUUCUGGUUGGUUGCAGGAUGGACGGGCAGUUACGAUACGACAUUGCGAUGAACACCAUCAUUAUAAUCCUCAUCACUGAUGCGGUCUUACAUAUGACUCUGAGAGCCCACAAGAUUCCCCUUGCUGAUAACGUUGAGGGACUUUUAUGUACAUUUGUAGUUGCGUACGUGUUUGUCAUCACGACUAAUUGCGGGUAUUGGCUUACAGCAAGCGAGGAAGAAGGGUGUUUACUUGGAAUUUACAUCACGGGACGCCUUGGUCACACGUUAGGCUUUUGUAUUUUCCUCUGUCUCCUCUAUUCUAUUUCUCACUUGGCUAUGUACGUUGCUCUACCUUGUUUACUAUGGUUGGUGCCAGCCAUGUUUGCACCGUGUUGUCCAUGUCUGUGGAGAGGAGAGUCAACUUGGUGGAAUUUUGUGAAGCAACCACAACCAACAGUAGAUAUUGUUUAACUUUUGGACUAUUAUUAUUAAUAGAAUUUUUUAAUUCCUAAUUUUGUAAACAUCUCGUCAAUUGUUUGUUCUUAACUUUUCUCUCUUGCGAUCGGUGAAUUUUGUUUCCACUGUCUACCCAUAAACCUCGUGUUGACAUGUGUUUUGCGAUCUAACAAGAUAUUAUUAUGGUUUAGGGAUUGUUUUAGACAUCAAUCCUCUUUUGAUAUGGCUGAAGAAAAUUAAGAGUUCCUAGUCUUGAUUUGUUCCUGCUUAAUGUAAUUUGGGGAAAGUGAUCAUUUAUCUUUUGGUACAUUAUCAUUGUGUGUUGCAUGCAAAGUAUCAAUCUACUUGGAACUUAACAUUGCGUUAUUUGCAUCUAGCUUGUUUGGAAAAUAAGUUUUAAUUUGGUUUAAUCCCGUUGUUGAUCACAGUGUAGUGUGAUCUCAAUGUUGAACUAAAGAUAUCUUUAGUUUGUUCUUUAGAUUCUUUAUGAGUUACUACAAGCCUUUGUCUGCUUCCCUUUGGUUACAGGCUUGUCAUUACUAGUUGUAGAUCAUCAUUGAUUUUGCAGAACAAAAGAUGCAGAAGCUGUCCCAAAUAAGGACACAAGGACAUAAGUUUGUGCUUUAGAUCCUUUAUGAGUUUAUCUUCAGUUUUUGCGUUUUAGAUCCUUUAUGAGUUAUUACAAACCUCUCGACUCUUGUAAGGACAUAAGAUCUGUGCAUUAUCUGGUUACUGGCUGUACAAAGAGCUUGUCAAUUACUAGGUGUAGAUCAUCAUUGUUUCUGUUUGUUAAGAUGCAUUGAUGACACCUUACUCAUUGAUUCCCGAAACAAAAGAAGCAUAAGCUCUCUGAAAUAAGGCGUGGCCGCAAAAAUGCUAAAGUGUUGGUAUGUAGUCUAAGGCAUAGAUCGAAUAAAGCAGCGUUUUCCUUAUUGUCCCUUUGCUUUGUACAUUUUCUUAUUCACCAGAUUAGAAAAAUGGAUCUUGAAGCCAGGAGCCUUCCACCAAGCAUUAAGUCCAGCCUCCUUGUCAAACUAAGAGAGUUUUCAAGUCUGAUCUCAACAACUUCAAAAGCGAAGUCAAGAGAUCGAUGAGGUCAACUGAUGGAUUGGGUCGAACCACAGACAGAAUCAAGAGACUGAAGAGCUUGGCGUCUCAGUCCUCCAAGACUUGCACAGUCAGAGACAGUCUUCCUCUCCUACGCACUAACGACACGGUAUGUGCUCUCUUCAACAAUUUUCUCUUACACGGGUUUUAUCAUGAAGAAGAAUACUACGUGUGAUUGGCAUCUCUUUUAACCAAUAGCUCGUUCUCUGAUACAUACAGCUUAGUGGAGUAGACGACAAUGUAGGAAAAAGCAAGAAGACCUUGACAGGCAUGACUAGGAGGAUGAACAGGAACAAAUGGACCAUUGGAGCCAUUAUCACCGCUUUGGUCGCCGCCAUUAUCCUCAUCUUCUACUUCAAACUCACCAAGUAAGCCUCUGUAUCUAAACUCUUUGUCGCUGAACAAAUGGUGUGCUGUAAGUAGUAACAGCUGAUGACGAGGAAGAAGAUAGAAGGAAGCUAAGACUCUGAGGGACAAAGAGGCUUCUGCAGUUACAGUGAAGCUACUGUAUAAAUAAUAUUAUAGAGGGAGUGAAAGAGAGACUUUAUCGAUGUAUUAGCUCAUGCCUCAUAGUUCCAGUUGAUACUCUGUAUUGUGAGAGAGAGUGAUACAGUUGUAUUGUGUGUGUUAUGGAUCAAUAGAGAUUUGGUUCAUGACAUCUGGCUUUUAUCUGUGUGAUAAGUUAUGUCUUUGCCACCUUUUGUAUUAUCACGUUCUCUUGUUUGUGUUUGCGUUUACAGUUGUGUAUUUUUAUACUAAAUGAUGCAGAUUGUUUUGUUUAUUAUUAAAAGCAAGCGUAAAUUACAUUUUAGACAAUUAGAACUUAAGCCUUGAGAAUAAGAACUAGUUGUGUGUUUUUCUUUCAUUCUUGAACCUGUUAUAAUCAGCGAGCAAGCUAUCAAUAACCUUACGCUUCAUGCUAUCCACCAAACCAGUCAAAAUCUGUAUAAACCUGGAAUAUAGCUGGUUCAUAAUAAGACCUUGAACUGAUAUUGGGUCAUCAUUAUGUAAACAGCUGCGACUCUGUGUUUUGUUUUUGUGCUAUGAAAAUUUCUUAUUUUAAAGCAUAACUUCUAUUGUUUUUCUUUUGUCCAUAAGAAAAUUUAUUUUGUCGUUAAAACCAAUGUGACCACACAAAACCACUUAUCUAAUCUAAUCUAGAAACAAUAUGAAACAAGCUUACUGCCAAAGACAUACACCACAGUUACAACCACCUUUGAAAUCGACAUUCCAAGUAUAAACCAUCUUGGCCACAUGCUGUGAACAGUGGUUGAUCCUUCAGCUUCCUUACGCAGCUGUGAAGGUUCCAAAGAAGAGUGCGAUGACAAGCCACAGUAAGAACCAUCCAGUAUUGAGUUUUCUCCUCAGUGUCUCCGCUUUGUUGGCUUGUGGAGUUGUGCCAAGUUGAAGUACGUCGCCACGAAGCCAAUGUUGUUGAGCAGGAGAUAGACAGUGUAACAUCGCGUGUCUCUGAAACGUAUGUAGCCAUUUGAAUCGAGUCCACCAGGUGGACUUGAGAAGGAAGCCACCGUGGUUAGGCCACCGAUGGCCAACACGAACUUGGUAAGUUCUUCUUGCUCUUUGUAAAGAGCCUCCAAAGGAUCCUGAAAUAAAUAAAGCGUAUGUAGCCAUGUGAUGUGGACUUGAGAAGGAAGCCAAUGUGGUUAGGCCACCGAUGGCCAACACAAACUUGGUAAGUUAUUCUCGCUCUUUAUUAAGAGCCUCCAAAGGAUCCUACAAUAAAGUGUACAAAUUUUGUAACUCAAAUCUUUUCCUCAUUCUCAGACAUCUCUCGCAGAAGACAUACUAACCGGUUUGCCUGAGAAAUAUAAAACUAAAUGUUUAAAGUACAUGCUUCUUAUAAAAUCAAUCUACAACUAUUCAAUAAAACUUGAUUUGCUUUUAUUAAACCCAUUAAAAGCAUUUACACACUCAAUCACACAACUAUACUUAAAUGCCACGACUUUCUCUUGUUCUAAAUAACUUUACGUCUUUACAUGUGUCUCAUUUGUAGACUUUCGUUACUACAUGUAACAUUUUUUCCAUGACUUUCAUGACCCGAAAUGAAGCUUUAAAAGUUCGUGAAACUAGUUUUCAAUAUAACAGUUCAUCAACUUAUCAACACAUUUACCUUAAUAUUCUAUGUUCCAAUAAAAUAAACAAACUUACUGCGAUUAUCGACGAAAUGGAGCUGAGGUUGAGGAAAGUCCUUGAUUUCCUAUCUUCAACAAAAAUAAAAAAGUAAAGAAAUGUUUUGCUAUUACAACAGCUUAUGUAGUGAUUCAGAUAAAACAAAAAAAUAAACACAACCUUCUGAUUGAUGCCACAUGAAAAAUGAUCAAUGUCUCUAAGCUUCUCAUCCUAAACGCCUUCCCCAUACAAUUUACAAAAUUUCUUCUCCUCUACAACUUUUGUCGUUAUGCGAAGAUUGUGAACCUCUGUUCAUUAAAUCGAUUGGGCUUUUUUUUCUUUCUUUUUUAGUAUCAUGUGCUUAAAGAUCCUAUUAUAAUAUUCUAAGUACGUUUUUCAUAGACGAGACAUCCCAAAUUUUUAUCUUUACUUUUCCUACACCAAUUCAUAGCUAUUUAUAUUUUGACGCAAACUAUAUAAAAUCGGAUCAGUUUACUCAAAACCCAGUACGUGGCUAAUCGUAAAAGAUACAUAGAAGUAUUCAACAAAUCAUUUCAUAUCAUUCAUUCAUUCACCCACAAAGAGCUCUCAAAUUGGUUUCGCAACUACAAAACAUCGAAUCCGUUCUUGGAUUAGGGUUUUGAGAUUGAGUCUCAUCAAUUUUUUUUGUUUCUUAUUGUAGAAAAGUUUCACUUUGAGCUACAAGACAACUACUAGUGAAGGAGACCAGACAGUUCCAGAUCCGUUUCCAAAGUUGUUGGAUAUUUUAGGACCAUCUUUAGUACAUUUGUUCUUCGUCCCUGAGAAAAGAGGAGGAUCGAGUUAGGUUAAAUUUGCUACAGGUUAUGUCAAAUUGUGCGGGAGAAUGUCGGUAGUAAAAUGAACUUACUUAUGCACCUUAGUGUUUGUUAUCACACCUGAGUGUGUUGAGAUUCACAAUCUGAUUUUGAUGGAAGAAAGCGGGAAGAAACUAGUUAGCUACUUUCUUGAGAAUUCAUUUGUUCUCAAGAAACUCAUCCCGCGUUUUAGGGAUUCUUUAAUAUAUCUUACUCAGAUUUCUUCAAGGAGCUUCUUAAAUUCAGAAAGCGGUCUUGCAGUUGUCCGAUUAUUUUUCUUUGAGAAAUUGGCGAUUAGAGUUCAUUAUUUAUUUUGAUUUUGAGUAUCAUUGUGUAUGAAUUUCGUAUGGAUUGUAGAUUUUAUUAAAACCUGUUUCAUAAAGAUUUAUUUUUUGAUGGAAAAAGAGUAAACGACUUUAUAAGAUUUUGUUGCAGUUAAAAAUUAAAAGAUAAACAAUUAUAUAUUAUGUAUUUAUUUAUGAAAUAAGAAAAUUAAUUAAUACUUGAUUUGAUAUUGUUAUCUUUAAGAAAUUUUAUACAUUCCAACAUGUUAAUAAAAUUGAUUACAUUAAAUAUAUCAACCGUGGCAGUUACAGCCCCCGAUUAAAGCAUUUGAUCUAGUCAGUAGAUUUCUUGGAAAUCAAGUUUCGAUUCCAUUUCAUUUGUGCAUGUUAAACGCCGAAGUAAUAGCUGUGCUGACUUAAAACAGAUCGGAGGUUUACUGAAUUUGAAUUUGGUCGACUUUGAGAAGGUGAACAAAAUUCGACUGUGAGUUAUUUCAAAAACGUUUUUAUUGAUAAGAUGAAAAAGAGGUUACAAUGUUUGGACAUGUAAAGUAUAAAACACAAAUAUAAGUUGUUGUUUUUAACACUAGAUAAAUUACCAAUUACUAAUGAACAACUAUACAGAUAAUAAAGAGCCUACAAUACUUUGAAAUGUUCGAAGAGCUUUGCAUCUAAGAAUCUGUAAUAAACAAAAUAUAAGUGUAAAAAUCUUUAAACCAUAAUGCUUACACGAGUCGUAUUUGUUGAAAACAAAACAAGUAUGAGUCGUAUGACCUGAACAAAACAAAAUCAAAUAAUAAACCGGAUCUAAUUGACCACUAACCGGAACCGGUUCAAUCGUGAAUUGACUCAAAUCCCAUUAAGCGGCGCAUCGUGAGAAAAAGAGCCAGCAACUGUUCAAAAUAUCUCAAUAGAUAGAUCAAAAAGCAAUCAUGGACACCAUCAUUCAUUAAUAAAUAAUCCUCUGAAACCUCCGUUUGAAUUAUUUCUAUCUUCUCUCCUCUUCUCACAUCGCAUCAUGGGUGCUUCAUCCUCUACAGAUAAUAAAGAAUCAUCGGAGAAGCGAGAAAUCGAAAGCCUCGCUGCUUCCACCGGUGCUCUUCCUCUCCUUCAACGCUCUUUCUCCAAGCUCGCCGAUCCUCAGACCAACACUGUUUCCUUCCAAUCAUUCAAGGUAAUAACGGUUAGGGUUCUGAUUGUUCUUAAAGAGAAUCUGGAUUUGCAAUCACAGUAGUUUUGGGAUUUGAUCGGAUCAUGAAUUAGGGUUUUUGAGACUGAGUUUGAUAAAGAUCGAACUGUAGAUCUCUCUGCUUUAGCUUUAUAAUGAGUUUCAUCAAUUUUUUGUUUGUUUUGUUUCUUAUUGUAGAAAAGUUUCACCUUGAGCUACAAGACAACUACUUGUGAAGGAGACCAGACAGUUCCAGAUUCGUUUCCGAGGUUGUUGGAGCAUUUAGGACCAUCUUUAGUAGAUUUGUUCUUCGUCCCUGAGAAAGGAGGAGGGUUGAGUUGGGUCGAGUUUGCUAGAGGUUAUGUCAAAUGCUGCGGAAGAAUGUCGGCUUCCAUGUCUUACAACAACACUCUGUUGAGAGUUUUUCAUCUGACAUCUCAAAACGCAGGCUUUUCGUCGAAGCUGGAGUUCGAAUCUGAAGAAGCUGAUUGUAAGAUCAACGGGUCGGUCUCGACUUUAGAGUUGGUUAUGUUUCUGUGGAUGUGUUGGACGAUGUCGUGGGAUGGUCGAAGCAGUAGAUCCACCGACUUGUUUCUUCCUGAUAUAAGCCACUUGAUUAUGUCAGCGCUUGUGUCUUGCACCGAAUCUGGAACUAGUUUGGAUGUUUGGGAUUCUGAUGUUUUCGGUUUGGAACUCGAGCUUCCUGUCGGGAAAUUCCUGACGUGGGCAUUGACGACGAUUCCAAGCCUCACUGAGUGUCUAUCUCACUUCUGCAACGCGAGGCUUCAGCAUUGUUUAAAUGCAGAGGUACUCUUUCUUUACUUGUUGCUUCUCGUUUACCCGUAAGGUGUUCACUAAAAGUGAAUUACAGGAUGGAUCUGGGCCUUCAAAGUCAGCUGGUGGAGAUGAUUCUGCGUCCAAGGCAUGUGAAAACACACUUCUUACAUGUGGAAGGGCAUGGGCGAUUUCUUUGACGUCCAAGAAUACCUUAAGUGAGGAGAUCUUGAGCUCAUGCUUUCCCUGCAAUGGCGAUGAACCCAAUGAAAAUCUUCUUUACCGGUAUCCCACUAUCCUACUUCUGUGAAGGUUCUGUCUCUAUAGUGUAACUUAACGUGUUCAAUGUUCAUCUGUCUUUUAGCUCAUACCAUCAUGGGAAAGGCAUGAAUCGAUUGUGGGACAACGUUCAAGGGUAUCAUGCUCCGAUACUAUUGCUAGUUUCUGCAAGCGGUGGAGUUGAGCAGGAGGGUACUUCAAGCGAGAGGAAGUGGGUCAUCGGUGCUAUCUUGCAGCAGGGUUUUGAGAACAGAGAUACAUUUUACGGAAGCUCUGGGAAUUUGUUCUCCAUUAGUCCUGUCUUUCACGCAUUCUCAUCUUCAGGUACUGCACAGAUUAAAAAAAAAUCAUCUGCGUGGUCAGUUGUUUUGCGUUAGUAUAGUCUUAUAUGGUUUUGUGUUCAACUUCUUCAGGGAAAGAGAAAAACUUUGCAUAUAGCCAUCUUCAUCCCUCUGGUAGAGUCUAUGACGCAAACCCAAAGCCUGUUGGAAUUGGAUUCGGGGGAACACAAGGAAACGAGAGAAUCUUCAUCGACGAAGACUUUGCUAAGAUCACAAUCCGUCAUCAUGCAGUUGAUAAAACUUACCAACCUGGCUCUCUCUUCCCAAACCAGGUAACGCAAGUGCUGGUCUUUAUAUAUGUUUCAAGUUUUGUGGUCUUGGGUCUUUAUAAACAUCUGUUGUUGCAGGGUUAUUUACCAGUAGAGGCUUUGGUGUCAGAUGUUGAAGCAUGGGCAUUAGGUGGAAAAGCAGCUAAGGAAGUUCAAGAAGCAUACAAGAAACGAGAAGAGCUUUUCACUGACCAACGUCGAAAGGUAAGAAAAGAUCAAUAAGAUCUAUUUAUAUGCAAAUGCACAAAGGACUUGCAGGUUUGACAAGUGUUUAAUGUAUCUGCAGAUUGAUUUGAAGACGUUUACGAAUUGGGAAGAUUCACCUGAGAAAAUGAUGAUGGAUAUGAUGGGGAAUCCUAAUGCUCCGGCUAGAGAAGAGAGGUAAUGAGUGAGGGGACCAAGACUUGUUUGGUAUAUUUAUGCACAUACAUUUUCUCAA